UACGGAGGGGGCUAGCGUUGUUCGGAAUUACUGGGCGUAAAGCGCGCGUAGGCGGACCUGCAAGUCGGGGGUGAAAGCCCGAGGCUCAACCUCGGAACUGCCUUCGAUACUGGGAGUCUCGAGUCCGGGAGAGGUGAGUGGAACUGCGAGUGUAGAGGUGAAAUUCGUAGAUAUUCGCAAGAACACCAGUGGCGAAGGCGGCUCACUGGCCCGGUACUGACGCUGAGGUGCGAAAGCGUGGGGAGCAAACGGG
rnacentral:rRNA from 1 species